CUGGUAAAAUGGAUGUUUGGUUUAUGUAUGUGGGAGAUACUGAUGCAUGGUGUCAAGCCUUUUCAAGGAGUGAAGAACAAUGAUGUAAUCGGUCGAAUUGAAAAUGGGGAAGGACUACCAGUGCCUCCAAAUUGUCCUCCUACCUUCUACAGCCUUAUGACGAAAUGCUGGGCCUAUGACCCCAGCAGGCGGCCCAGGUUUACUGAACUUAAAGCUCAGCUCAGCACAAUUCUGGAGGAAGAGAAGGCUCAGCAAGAAGAACGCAUGAGGAUGGAGUCCAGAAGACAGGCUACAGUGUCCUGGGACUCUGGAGGGUCUGAUGAAGCGCCGCCCAAGCCCAGCAGACCAGGUUAUCCUAGUCCGAGAUCCAGUGAAGAAUUUUAUCCCAGCCCACAGCACAUGGUGCAAAUCAAUCAUUACCAGGUCUCUGGCUACCCUGGUUCACAUGGAAUCACAGCUAUGGCUGGCAGCAUCUAUCCAGGUCAGGCAUCUCUUUUGGACCAAGCAGAUUCAUGGAGUCAUAGACCUCAGGAGAUAUGAAUGUGGCAGCCCAAUGUGGAGGACUCUACAGCAUUGGACCUAUGAGGGACUGGGCAAGUGUUGCCAACCCACCUGAUGGAAGAGAGGCUAAUCUAACAGCAACAGGAAAUGGAAGAAGAUUAGCACUGGCUGGAAAAAGAGGAAAGAUUUCUGAAACCUGAUGUGAGACUCUCUCGAGGCAGCAUUGACAGGGAGGAUGGAAGUCUUCAGGGUCCGAUUGGAAACCAACAUAUAUAUCAGCCUGUGGGUAAACCAGAUCCUGCAGCUCCACCAAAUAAACCACCUCACCCUGGAGCCCCUGGUCACCUGGGAAGCCUUGCCAGCCUCAGCAGCCCUGGGGACAGCUGCAACAAGGGUGUCAAGCCAUGGAGGCUUUAGCCCCAGGAAAUCAGCCCCCCACCUACUGCCAAGCUGGACCGGUCAAAUGAUAAGAUGUAUGACAAUGUGACGGGCCUGGUGAAAGCUGUCAUCGAGAUGUCCAGUAAAAUCCAGCUGGCCCCACCAGAGGAAUAUGUCCCUAUGGUGAAGGAAGUUGGCUUGGCCCUGAGGACGUUAUUGGCCACUGUGGAUGAGACCAUUCCCCUCCUCCCAGCCAGCACCCGCCGAGAGAUGGAGAUGGCACAGAAACUAUUGAACUCUGACCUGGGUGAGCUCAUCAACAAGAUGAAACUGGCCCAGCAGUAUGUCAUGACCAGCCUCCAGCAAGAGUACAAAAAGCAAAUGCCGACUGCUGCUCACGCCCUGGCUGUGGAUACCAAAAACUUACUUGAUGUCACUGACCAAGCAAGACUGAAAAUGCUUGGGCAGAUGAGACCACACUGAGCCUCCCCUGGGAGCAUGUCUUGCUACCCUCUUUUGAAGAUGUUCUCUAGCCUUCCACCAGCAGUGAG